rnacentral:rRNA from 1 species
UGGGGAAUAUUGGACAAUGGGCGCAAGCCUGAUCCAGCCAUGCCGCGUGGAUGAUGAAGGCCCUAGGGUUGUAAAGUCCUUUUAACGGGGAAGGGGUGCACGGUGAAUAGCCGGCGCACUUGACGGUACCUUCAGAAGAAGCUCCGGCUAACUAC